GACAGAGGAUGCAAGCGUUAUCCGGAAUUAUUGGGCGUAAAGAGCUUGUAGGUGGUUUGUCGCGUCUGCUGUGAAAAUCCGAGGCUCAACCUCAGGCCUGCAGUCGAUACGGGCGGACUUGAGUACUGCAGGGGAGACUGGAAUUCCUGGUGUAGCGGUGAAAUGCGCAGAUAUCAGGAGGAACACCGGUGGCGAAGGCGGGUCUCUGGGCAGUAACUGACGCUGAGGAGCGAAAGCGUGGGGAGCGAACAGG
rnacentral:rRNA from 1 species